rnacentral:tRNA from 1 species
UUCAUUGUAAAGAAAAAAAAUUUUUUUUUAUAUAUAUAUAUAUAUAUAUAUAUAUA